AACAAGUGGUAUCAGAGCGAGGUCGCCUAGCUUGAGGGGGAAAUCUUAGUAUGCUCUGUGACCGCAGUUUUGGCUGAUCUUCCACAUCAGAAAAGAUUUUCUGGUUCAAGAAGCUUGUAGGAUGGGAAGUUGGUGCAACUGGAGUAUCGAGGCUUGUGGUGAAUUUUGGCGGUUAGAUCUGGUAGUGUGGAGGUACAUGUCUAGGUAAGCUCUGGCUAGGAAAGACUUG
rnacentral:lncRNA from 1 species